AUCAAGGUACUCUCUAAACUAGUUAAAUGUACACAGAUUCAGCACACUGGCUAAAACCACUCUAAUAGGUUCCAGCCAGGCAAAACUAAACAAACACUCUAUUUCAAUAUGCUUUAACACAACGGAAUGUAACAGUAUGUAACCAACAGCUAGACGAACUGAUCACUGACUCACAGCCGCCAUGAACUGAGGGCACACAAGCUAUUUAUGUUGCAGCUGGGGUUGAUUGCAGAGUCUCGAUUGGUAGAUUUGGUAGACACACAGCCACACCAAUCACAGACGCAGGUGGACAGGAAGCAGGAAGUUGACCGCCUCUGCUUCGGCCGGACCAAUCCUCAUCAGGGAAUCACACAGCUUGCUUUGCAUGCCUGGCAGAAUCACUCAUGGGAACACACAAUGAACGUACACUAAACGGCAGCCAACAAAACAUUUUUCACAAAGCCACAGUGUUACGGCUGCAUAACACUGUGGCUUUGUGAAAAAUGUUUUGUCUGUCAGUUUGAACCCUGCUGCAAGACAGCAACCACAAAUAUUACUGCAACUUAAGCGUCCACGGUGACUCCAGCGUCCACAGCAGACCAUCAGAAAGAAACAUGUAUGGUUACUAUGGUGCCAGAGGACACUGAAGACCAUCCCUACAGCAAAGACUUGGCUUAUGUGUGUGUCCAUUUAGAGCAGUGAUGUUACUGUGGCCAGACAAGAGGACACGUCUUCAAAUUGUCUUGUGCUAUGAGAGGCCCAACAAGCCAAACAGCAACCAUGUGAGUCCAGUUGUCUGUUAAUUAAUGUCAUUACUCAGGAUGAAGGCAUGCUGCAAUACCUUAAGAAAAUCAUCAGAGGCAACAUUGUGUCUCCCUGGGCCAAGAAGGAGGACAGGGUCUUCAUUCCUUUUGAAGAUGAUGACCAAGUGGACCAGGUGAUGCACUUCUUGUCUGGAGUGGUUGAAAGUCCACAGACAGAUAAGAAGUCUGCUGAUCCUGUGGCUUCAAGCAUACAGAGCUGUUCUCUCCAUCUCCCUGGACAAAGACUGA